rnacentral:rRNA from 1 species
UGCAAGUCGAACGAUGAUCCCAGCUUGCUGGGGGAUUAGUGGCGAACGGGUGAGUAACACGUGAGUAACCUGCCCUUGACUCUGGGAUAAGCCUGGGAAACUGGGUCUAAUACCGGAUAUGACUCCUCAUCGCAUGGUGGGGGGUGGAAAGCUUUUGUGGUUUUGGAUGGACUCGCGGCCUAUCAGCUUGUUGGUGGGGUAAUGGCCUACCAAGGCGACGACGGGUAGCCGGCCUGAGAGGGUGACCGGCCACACUGGGACUGAGACACGGCCCAGACUCCUACGGGAGGCAGCAGUGGGGAAUAUUGCACAAUGGGCGCAAGCCUGAUGCAGCGACGCCGCGUGAGGGAUGACGGCCUUCGGGUUGUAAACCUCUUUCAGUAGGGAAGAAGCGUAAGUGACGGUACCUGCAGAAGAAGCGCCGGCUAACUACGUGCCAGCAGCCGCGGUAAUACGUAGGGCGCAAGCGUUAUCCGGAAUUAUUGGGCGUAAAGAGCUCGUAGGAGGUUUGUCGCGUCUGCUGUGAAAGACCGGGGCUCAACUCCGGUUCUGCAGUGGGUACGGGCAGACUAGAGUGCAGUAGGGGAGACUGGAAUUCCUGGUGUAGCGGUGAAAUGCGCAGAUAUCAGGAGGAACACCGAUGGCGAAGGCAGGUCUCUGGGCUGUAACUGACGCUGA